rnacentral:rRNA from 1 species
GAUGAACGCUGGCGGCGUGCCUAAUACAUGCAAGUCGAGCGAACUGACGAGAAGCUUGCUUCUCUGAUGUUAUCGGCGGACGGGUUAGUAACACGUCUAUAACCUACCUUUAAGACUGUGAUAACUUCGGGAAACCGUCGCUAAUACCGGAUAAUAUUUUGAACCGCAUUUUUCAAAAGUUAAAUACGGUCUUGCUGUCACUUAUAGAUGGAUCCGCGCUGCAUUAGCUAGUUGGUAAGGUAACGGCUUACCAAGGCAACGAUGCAUAGCCGACCUGAGAGGGUGGACGGACACACGGGAAGUGAGAAACGGUCCAGACUCCUACGGGAGGCAGCAGUAGGGAAUCUUACGCAAUGGGCGAGAGCCUGACGGAGCAAAGCCGCGUGAGUGAUGAAGGUCUUCGGAUCGGAAAACUCUGUUAUUAGGGAAGAACAUAUGUGUAAGUAACUGUGCACAUCUUGACGGUACCUAAUCAGAAAGCCACGGCUAACUACGUG